rnacentral:rRNA from 1 species
UGGGGAAUAUUGCACAAUGGGCGAAAGCCUGAUGCAGCGACGCCGCGUGAGGGAUGACGGCCUUCGGGUUGUAAACCUCUUUCAGCAGGGACGAAGCGCAAGUGACGGUACCUGCAGAAGAAGCACCGGCUAACUACGUGCAAGCAGCCGCGGUAAUACGUAGGGUGCAAGCGUUGUCCGGAAUUACUGGGCGUAAAGAGUUCGUAGGCGGUUUGUCGCGUCGUUUGUGAAAACCAGCAGCUCAACUGCUGGCUUGCAGGCGAUACGGGCAGACUUGAGUACUGCAGGGGAGACUGGAAUUCCUGGUGUAGCGGUGAAAUGCGCAGAUAUCAGGAGGAACACCGGUGGCGAAGGCGGGUCUCUGGGCAGUAACUGACGCUGAGGAACGAAAGCGUGGGUAGCGAACAGG